GUGAAUAUAGUUUACAAAAACAUUAGAUUGUGAUUCUAAAAACAGGGAAUAUCAACCCCUUACUCACC
rnacentral:tRNA from 1 species